AAACUUGAGUGACUUCACUUGCAGUGACAAUAAUACUGAUAGGAGUAACUGCUCAAUUAAAUUGUGUUCUAAAAAGGCAGACACUCUCCCCAAAGGUAUUCAUUUUGCAUGCAUAGCAAACACCUAUGAACAUCACCGAGUUUAAAGUCGCAAUCGAUAGUGAAGAGCUGAGUGAAAGUUUGAAGGAAACAGUUGAAAAAAAAGCCUGGCUUUAGAAUAGUCUGAACUUGAGUACAAGAAUAAACUCACAGCAGAAUGUAUUGCGCUGCUGGAUUUCAGUGGUUGGGUACCUGGUGGUUCACAGGGGGAUUGUUUGAUUUCAGUGGUUGGGUACCUGGUGGUUCACAGGGGGAUUGUUUGAUUUCAGUGGUUGGGUACCUGGUGGUUGACAGGGGGAUUGUUUGAUUUCAGUGGUUGGGUACCUGGUGGUUCACAGGGGGAUUGUUUGAUUUCAGUGGUUGGGUACCUGGUGGUUCACAGGGGGAUUGUUUGAUUUCAGUGGUUGGGUACCUGGUGGUUGACAGGGGGAUUGUUUGAUUUCAGUGGUUGGGUACCUGGUGGUUCACAGGGGGAUUGUUUGAUUUCAGUGGUUGGGUACCUGGUGGUUCACGGGGGGAUUGUUUGAUUUCAGUGGUUGGGUACCUGGUGGUUCACAGGGGGAUCGUUUGAUUUCAGUGGUUUGGUACCUGGUGGUUGACAGGGGGAUUGUUUGAUUUCAGUGGUUUGGUACCUGGUGGUUGACAGGGGGAUUGUUGACAGGUACCACCUGCUUCUGAGACAGACAGGAAAAGUGUACAUCUGACCUGAAAGUUACUAGGUAAUAAAUCAGCUCUGUUUCUGAUUUGGCUCACCCAAAACCUUCCCAAUUGCCUAUUCUUUGUCCUUUGCUCUGUCGUUUAAGUUGUUAUGACUUGCUGCUUCCCUCGAUGACUGAUACACCUAACAGCCAUUCAUUGUGAUUUUUGCUGGCAUACAAAGGAAUUACUGGCUCAUCUUGGAUUUACAGAACAUAAUCUCGCUCCACUUACAUCCCUGGAUAAAUAUUCUUUAUUUCAAAAUGUGACAGAAAUAGAAUGAUUCUUGGUGGUAAAUCUCCCUCCCGACCUGUGAGGGCGCUAAGUAACGGGAACAGAGUACCCUGGACUGUUUGGCCUGACACUUCAUUCCCAGGGUUAAAAGGAAAGGGGGUGGAGCUUCGGUGCACUAACUCAUCGACCCGGAAGGGAAAUGAUGUGGCAUGGAGGAGCAGCUGCAAUCAUUUACCAAGGGGUCAUGUGUGACGGUACAAAAAGGGGAUGACGCGACAUAACCUGUUCCUUUGUUGAUGGUUAAGAAAGACCCGGAAGGACCCGUAUUCGUGUUUAUCGUACCGUGAGUGUUUUGUUUGUUUGUCACUAAUUGUUACUGUGGUUAUUAUUAGUAGACGGCUAACACAGUCCGGAGCUGUCGCCAGAGGCCAGCACUAACCCGGACAUCAUUGCACCUGUAUCAUGAUAAACGGUAUUUACACCACAAGCACUUUAGCACGCACAGUGGACUUGUGUUUGUGUUUUGUGUUACGUGUGGGUGUUUAAGAACGGGACUAUUAUUAUUUCGGGACCAACCCGUGGAUUACAAAUAAAGCAAUACCCACCACAGUAUUGCUUAUCACUAUUAUUAUUUACUGUGCUUUGUGUCAUCAGACAAACUGGAUAUAAAAAUAAAACAAACAUUGCACCUGGA